rnacentral:rRNA from 1 species
GAUCAUGGGCUCAGGAUGAACGCUGGCGGCGUGCCUAACACAUGCAAGUCGAGCGAUCUCUUCGGAGAGAGCGGCGGACGGGUGAGUAACGCGUGGGUAACCUGCCCUGUACACACGGAUAACAUACCGAAAGGUAUGCUAAUACGGGAUAAUAUAUAAGAGUCGCAUGACUUUUAUAUCAAAGAUUUUUCGGUACAGGAUGGACCCGCGUCUGAUUAGCUUGUUGGCGGCGUAACGG